UACGUAGGGGGCAAGCGUUGUCCGGAUUUAUUGGGCGUAAAGCGCUCGCAGGUGGUUCGUUGCGUCGUGCGUGAAAGACCCUGGCUCAACUGGGGGGGUGUCGUGCGAUACGGGCGAACUGGAGGCCAGUAGGGGGAUGCGGAAUUCCGGGUGUAGUGGUGGAAUGCGUAGAGAUCCGGAGGAACACCAGCGGCGAAGGCGGCAUCCUGGACUGGUCCUGACACUCAGGAGCGAAAGCGUGGAGAGCGAUCCGG
rnacentral:rRNA from 1 species